rnacentral:rRNA from 1 species
CCUCGGGAGGCUGCCGUGGGGAAUAUUGCACCAUGGGCGCAAGCCUGAUGCCGCCAUGCCGCGUGUGUGAAGAAGGCCUUCGGGUUGUAAAGCACUUUCAGCGGGGAGGAAGGCGGUGAGGUUAAUAACCUCAUCGAUUGACGUUACCCGCAGAAGAAGCACCGGCUAACUCCGUGCCAGCAGCCGCGGUAAUACGGAGGGUGCAAGCGUUAAUCGGAAUUACUGGGCGUAAAGCGCACGCAGGCGGUCUGUCAAGUCGGAUGUGAAAUCCCCGGGCUCAACCUGGGAACUGCAUUCGAAACUGGCAGGCUAGAGUCUUGUAGAGGGGGGUAGAAUUCCAGGUGUAGCGGUGAAAUGCGUAGAGAUCUGGAGGAAUACCGGUGGCGAAGGCGGCCCCCUGGACAAAGACUGACGCUCAGGUGCGAAAGCGUGGGGAGCAAACAGGAUUAGAUACCCGAGUAGUC